rnacentral:rRNA from 1 species
CGCAACCCUACUGCCAGUUACCAACACGUUAUGGUGGGGACUCUGGCGGAACUGCCGGUGACAAACCGGAGGAAGGUGGGGAUGACGUCAAGUCCUCAUGGCCCUUAUGUCCAGGGCUACACACGUGCUACAAUGGUCGGUACAGAGUGACGCGAAGCCGCGAGGUGGAGCAAAUCGCAGAAAGCCGGCCUUAGUUCGGAUUGGAGUCUGAAACUCGACUCCAUGAAGGUGGAAUCGCUAGUAAUCGCGCAUCAACAUGGCGCGGUGAAUACGUUCCCGGGCCUU